rnacentral:rRNA from 1 species
UACGAGGGGUGCAAGCGUUGCUCGGAAUUAUUGGGCGUAAAGGGUAGGUAGGCGGUCUCAUUUGUCUGGGGUGAAAGCCUUGAGCUUAACUCAAGAAGUGCCUCGGAAACGGUGAGACUGGAGUCUUGGAGAGGGUUGCGGAAUUCCCGGUGUAGCGGUGAAAUGCGUAGAGAUCGGGAGGAACACCAGAGGCGAAGGCGGCAACCUGGACAAGUACUGACACUCAACUACGAAAGCGUGGGGAGCAAACAGG